rnacentral:rRNA from 1 species
ACUCCUGCGGGAGGCAGCAGUGGGGAAUUUUGGACAAUGGGCGAAAGCCUGAUCCAGCAAUGCCGCGUGAGUGAAGAAGGCCUUCGGGUUGUAAAGCUCUUUUGUCAGGGAAGAAACGGUGAAAGCUAAUAUCUUUUGCUAAUGACGGUACCUGAAGAAUAAGCACCGGCUAACUACGUGCCAGCAGCCGCGGUAAUACGUAGGGUGCAAGCGUUAAUCGGAAUUACUGGGCGUAAAGCGUGCGCAGGCGGUUUUGUAAGUCUGAUGUGAAAUCCCCGGGCUCAACCUGGGAAUUGCAUUGGAGACUGCAAGGCUAGAAUCUGGCAGAGGGGGGUAGAAUUCCACGUGUAGCAGUGAAAUGCGUAGAUAUGUGGAGGAACACCGAUGGCGAAGGCAGCCCCCUGGGUCAAGAUUGACGCUCAUGCACGAAAGCGUGGGGAGCAAACAGGAUUAGAAACCCCUGUAGUCC